rnacentral:lncRNA from 1 species
AGAGACUGAGAAUUCACGAGCAAGGUAACAGCAGAUUUGGAGCCCGUUAAAGCUUGCCCCUUAAUCACAGAAGUCCGUCUUCUCAUUGUUCUCAUGUGGCAGAUGGGGCCAAGGAGCUCCCUGGGGGUAUCUUUUUUCAGGGCACUAGUCCCAUCCAGAAGCUCCAUCCUUGGUACCCAAACCUGCCCCAAAGGCCCAACCUCUAACUAUCACACUGGGAGUUAGGUUUCAACAUAUGAAAGUUGAGAGGACACAAACAUUCAAUCUGUGGCAGAUUAGAGUGCAAAAAGCCAGAGAGUAAAGUCAAUAAAGCAUGUUAGAAUUAUUUUGCUACUGAAAGAUUCAAAUUAACUCUGGGUUUGUAAACACCCUCCCAUUUUUUACUACACCAUUAAUUUUUCUUAAUGAACUAAGCUCCCAAAGAGAUAUUUUAUGGAGGGAGAAGAGUUCCAAAUGUAUUUCAUACCAUUUGUAAUAGUUUGAUACCUAUAUUAAACUUUCCUUUUGAUAAUUUUGUAAUGAAAUUUACAAUUUCCCAUUUACUAUUUACAAAUGUGCUGGGUUUUUUCUCUUUUAUCAGAAGAUGCCUAAACUGUGGUUGAUAUAUGUUAGUACUAAGUCUCUCUCAAGAAAACAUAUUUGACAUAAUGAUAUGCCCCAGAAUGUCUCUGGAGAAAUAUAGUAAGACGAAUGAGUUUUGGCCUACCAAUUCCUUUUUUUCAGUAUAAGCCUUUAUUUCCAGGUAGUCAAAGGAAUCAUCCCUCUGGGAAAAUAAAGACACACAAUAAUGCUGGAAAGAAUCAGAGGAUUUUAGAGGUGAAAAGACCUCUAAAAGAAAUGGUUUAGUCCCAAGUCCUCAUUUUGCAGAUGAGGAAAUUGAGGCCAACUUAAAGUUGCAUGGCUGGUUUAAUGGUAUUGCCAGAAUUAGAAAUACCAUCUUCUGGUUCUCAGUCCAGUGCUCUCUUUAUUACACUGUGUGGUGGCCCACUUCGUGACACCUUUGAAAGAGGGUUUUCAUAAAGCAUCUACGCAUGACUCCACAGCAUCUUUAACAGAAAUACUUUCCCUGCAGAAAAAUGCCUGCCGAGGAUUCUGCUACUAAGAGCUCCCGCUGGGCAAAGGGUCCCUAGCAAGCACAUCGUGCAAACUGUAAUGAGCUCUACGAUGUCUCCAUUCUCUGGAGAUAUGGAGGCUUCACAAUGUAGACUUUUCAUUUCUUUUCUAAUGAAGGUUUAAGCAAGCAUCUCAGUUGUCAAACCUUCUGUACCAUGUCCCAUGAGACAGAGAAUAUUGCCUCUUAUGAUGCUAUGUUUUAGGGCAACAGAGCGGGGGUUGGGAGGCUUUCAAGAGAGUUGGCCUCAUCUGUGUAGACAUUAUUUUUAUCUUUUUCCUUUUAGAAAUCGGCAUGAUCUCUCUGGCCCUUUCUGUGUCUGAGCAAUUGAGCAAGGCCUCAAUGUAAAAGCUACAUCCAUAGAAAUAGUGCAAAAUGUCACUGAGAUGCCACCCCCAGACGUCAUUCAAUUUCUGAAACAGAUAUUCCCCGUCCUGUGCUCCAGCAGCUGCAAUAGGCGUUGUUUCCUCAUGUUAUCAGUUUUGCUAGAUGAACACUAUCUAUUGAAUGUUACAGAAAAUGGAUUCCUGGCGAAUUUGUAAAUUCAAGGGGGAAAAAAAAAAAAAAACAGCUAUCAAAAGAAAUGUAAUGCCAUAAAAAAAAAGCAUGUUUAGGAGAUUAAAAUGAGGUCUCUUGACUUCUGUCCAAUGACCACUCAUCUCUGGAUUGGAUCACAGACUCUUAUAUUUAAAUCGCUUUGUCUGAAAAGUCCCAUCAUCCUGAAAAGUCACCAUGGCAACAAAUCAAUGGCAAUGAAAAUCAUUUCAUUACAUAUUCUUUUUUAACAUCUAUAGCUUACUAAGGUGUGUUUGGGGAACAUAAUUCAUUAUCUAGGAAAUUUUCUAAUGUUUUUUAUUCAUGUUUCACUAUUAUUGCUUUCUUAGUAACUACAUAUAUUUUCUCCAAUGCUGAGUCCUAAAACUAUUACAAAGCACAUUCCCCCUUUUUAUACUCCCUUGUGUAACAGAGAAACAAGAGUGGUUUUUAUUCACAUCAAAUGUCAUUGAUUUUUAAUUUUUUUCUUUAAGUUGAAUGCCUAGAAUAUAUGUACACAAUUUACAACCUUGAUUUCAUAUCCUUUAUUUAAAAAUACACAGAUUUUCCAUGCUGAGAGCAUAAGCCUAUUUUAAAAACUAAACACUUUAAUUUUGUUAACCCCCAAAUUUUUACAGUAAUGGAAAACCAUAAGAGUGUUUUUAAUCAUACUCACACUGGGAAACUAAUUUUGUAGGACAAUGGUCUCCUUCUAGUUAAUAAACCUCUCUUUUUAUCCAUACCUACAAUGUUUAAUAGACUACACAACUCCAACCAUCUUCCAUUAUUACAGUAGUGACACGAAACUGGUGGCAAUGGCUUGAUUCUUGGUCAAUUCAUGGUACAUUUUGAAGUGUCUGUGUGUAUGAUCACUGACUAGUUUCUAUAACCAGAUUAAGGCAUUAGUCAGAUGGGAUAAUCCUUUAAACUCUUCUGCUGCUGCUUUAAUAGUACUUCACAGAUUUCCAAAUAUUUUUAAAUGUUCUAUUUGAUCUACUUGAUCAGGCAAAUAAAUGUUGCCUAUUUUCCCAGGUAAGCAAAAAAUAUAAAGGAAGCUUUAAAAUACAAACAAACAAACAAAAACAUGAAUGUGUGAUAAAAGCCUGAGUCAGUCACUAGGGGAUACAUUGACCCAAAUGAAUUACCCGUAAGAAUGAGUAAAACUACUUUUCUUGCCAAAGGAAAGGAAUUGGAUUGGGCAAGUCAAAGCAGUCACUUUAGUUAAAACCAGAAUACUUAAAUGUAGCAGGUUUCAAAAGGAUAAAUAAAAUCAGGAUAGAAAAAUUAGAGAAUGGAGAGAGCCGACUCUGAUAAGGAAGAGAUGCCUUGGACUUCCUGUCGUGGCGAAUCUGACUAGGAACCAUGAGGUUGCGGGUUCGAUCCCCAGCCUUGCUCAGUGGGUUAAGAUCUGGUGUUGCCAUGAGCUGUGGUGUAGGUUGCAGAUGCAGCUCAGAUCCCGAGUUGCUGUGGCUCUGGUGUAGGCCAGCGGCUACAGCUCCGAUUGGACCCCUAGCCUGGGAACCUCCAUAUGCCGGGGGUGCGGCCCAAGAAAUGGCAAAAAG